rnacentral:rRNA from 1 species
UGCAAGUCGAGCGGUAACAGAUCCAGCUUGCUGGAUGCUGACGAGCGGCGGACGGGUGAGUAAUGCAUAGGAAUCUGCCCGAUAGUGGGGGAUAACCUGGGGAAACCCAGGCUAAUACCGCAUACGUCCUACGGGAGAAAGGGGGCUCCGGCUCCCGCUAUGGGAUGAGCCUAUGUCGGAUUAGCUAGUUGGUGAGGUAACGGCUCACCAAGGCCACGAUCCGUAGCUGGUCUGAGAGGAUGAUCAGCCACAUCGGGACUGAGACACGGCCCGAACUCCUACGGGAGGCAGCAGUGGGGAAUAUUGGACAAUGGGGGAAACCCUGAUCCAGCCAUGCCGCGUGUGUGAAGAAGGCCCUCGGGUUGUAAAGCACUUUCAGCGAGGAAGAACGCCUAGCGGUUAAUACCCGCUAGGAAAGACAUCACUCGCAGAAGAAGCACCGGCUAACUCCGUGCCAGCAGCCGCGGUAAUACGGAGGGUGCAAGCGUUAAUCGGAAUUACUGGGCGUAAAGCGCGCGUAGGUGGCUUGAUAAGCCGGUUGUGAAAGCCCCGGGCUCAACCUGGGAACGGCAUCCGGAACUGUCAAGCUAGAGUGCAGGAGAGGAAGGUAGAAUUCCCGGUGUAGCGGUGAAAUGCGUAGAGAUCGGGAGGAAUACCAGUGGCGAAGGCGGCCUUCUGGACUGACACUGACACUGAGGUGCGAAAGCGUGGGUAGCAGACAGGAUUAGAUACCCUGGUAGUCCACGCCGUACACGAUGUCGACCAGCCGUUGGGGUGCCUAGCGCACUUUGUGGCGAAGUUAAC